rnacentral:rRNA from 1 species
AUCAAUAAGAGCAUACGGAGGAUGGCUCGACAGAACAUGCCGAUGAAGGACGUAGUAGCCUGCGAUAAGCUUCGGGGAGGUGGCAAGCGACCUUUGAUCCGAAGAUGUCCGAAUGGGGAAACCCCAUGCGGGGAAUGCCGCAUGACCUUGUACUGAAUACAUAGGUGCAAGGAGGUAACCUGGGGAAGUGAAACAUCUCAGUACCCAGAGGAAAAGAAAAAGUAUUAUUCACUUUACGUUUUCACCCACAAAGCACGUUGGGUGGGAACGAAAAGUGAAUCCAUUCCCUAAGUAGCGGCGAGCGAACGGGGAACAGUCCAAACCUCUCUCAUGAAGUUAUGGCAAGCAUGAAAGGCACUUGUGUCUCUUGUGUGAGCGGUGACGAAAGAUGGAAGUCGUUGUGAGAGAAGGUGUUGUAAGGCUCCAUGUCUAUCUUCUUCCAAAGAUAGGUGGUCAAUGCGUAUGAUAGGAGAAUCUGUUGGAACACAGAACCAAAGAAGGUGAAAGUCCUGUACACAAAAUUUUACGUAUUAUCAUAUUGGAGAACCUUGAGUACUACGGGGCUCGAGAAACCCUGUAGGAACCAGCCGAGACUAUUUGGCAAGACUAAAUACAUGUUCUGAUCGAUAGUGAACUAGUACCGUGAGGGAAAGCUGAAAAGCACCCCGGAAGGGGGAUGAAAUAGUAUCUGAAACCGUAUGCUUACAAGGAGUAGGAGCCUGGAUUCGUCUGGGUGACUGCGUUCCUAUUGAAGAAUGAGCCAACGAGUGUGAUGUGCGUCGCUUGCUUAAGUCCUCCGGGACGAAGGCGUAGUGAAAGCGAGCGUUAACCCGCGUGAUCUCAUUUUAUACUCGGUCCACCACUGCAGAGUUCUGUAGUAGGGUCGAGUUUAAAGUGAGAGAGUGGCGCGCACACGACCCGAAACCGGGUGACCUAUCCAUGUGCAGGGUGAAGCGAGCGUAAAAACUCGUGGAGGCCCGAACCCUCGACCUGUGCAAAAGUCUGGGAUGACAUGUGGAUAGCGGAGAAAUUCCAAUCGAACUCGGUAAUAGCUGGUUCUCCCCGAGAUAGCUUUUGGGCUAGCGUCGGUUAAUAACUUAUUGGGGGUAGAGCACUGAACGAGCUUUGCGGCUUCGGCUAGCGAGCUUAAUCAAACUCCGAAUACCAAUGAGUGUUCCCGGCAGUCAGACUAUGGGGGCUAAGCUCCAUCAGUCGAAAGGGCAACAGCCCAGAUCUCAAGCUAAGGUCCCUAAAUUGUCAUUAAGUGUAAAACGUGGUGAAGAGGCUUUUACAACCAGGAGGUUGGCUUAGAAGCAGCCAUCCUUUAAAGAUAGCGUAAUAGCUCACUGGUCAAGCUUCUUUGCGCGGAAAAUGUACCGGGGCUAAAUGACAUACCGAAGCUGAGGGUGUUCCUAACGUUAGUUAGGGAUGCGGUAGGGGAGCAUUCGUAUUGCGUUGAAGUUGUGGGGCGACCCAUGGUGGAGCGAUGCGAAGAGAGAAUGUUGGCAUGAGUAGCAAAAAGACAGGUGAGAAUCCUGUCCGCCGUAAAUCCAAGGUUUCCUGGGCAACGAGAAUCGCCCCAGGGUUAGUCGGGAGCUAAGGCAAGGCCGAAAGGCGUAGUCGAUGCACAGCUGGUUAAUAUUCCAGCACUCACUAUCACACUGAAGCAGGGACGCUUUCUGAAAUUUCCCGCGCUCUAUGGCUAUAGCGUUGGGUGCUUGUUGGUGUCUGGUAGGCAAAUCCGCCAGACUGAGGUUCGACCUCAAACCCGUGAGUAAUCGCAAGCCUGAGGUAAAACUCAGGUGAGGGGAAAGGACAGAGAGCCAAGAAAAGCUGCUAGGGUUAAUGUGAUAGGGACCCGUACCGCAAACCGACACAGGUGGAUGGGUGCGAAAUGCACUAAGGCGUACGAGAGAAACAUCGUUUAGGAACUAGGCAAAACAGCGUCCGUAACUUCGGAAUAAGGACUGGUUUCUUCCGGGAGGAAGAGACCCGCAGCGAAAGAUUUCAACCGACUGUUUAUCAAAAACACAGGUCCCUGCUAAACCGUAAGGUGAUGUAUAGGGGCUGAUGCCUGGCCAGUGUCCGAACGUUAAGGAAGGGGGUUAGUUCCUUCGGGAACGAAGCUUCUAACUGAAGCGCGGAUGAACGCCGGCGAUAACUAUAAUCGUCCUAAGGUAGCGAAAUUCCUUGACGGGUAAGUUCCGUCCUGCACGAAUGGCAUAACGAGUUGAAAACUCUCUCAACGAUGUACUCGGCGAAAUUGCAAUGUGAGUGAAGAUGCUCACUACCCGCGGCAAGACGAAAAGACCCCGUGAAGCUUUACUACAACUUGAUCUUGGGUUGAUGUCUCAUAUGUUCAGCAUAGGUGGGAGCCUUCGGGCACCAGUGAGAUACCACCCUUAUGUUACGUCAAUUCUAACCAGAUACCGUGAAACCGGUAUCAGGGACAGGAUCUGGUGGGUAGUUUACCUGGGGCGGGUGCCUCCCAAAAAGUAACGGAGGCGUUUACAAAGGUCAGCUUAGCGCGGAUGGAAAUCGCGCUGGACGUGCAAACGCAAAAGCUGGCUUUACUGCAAGACCAACAAGUCGCGCAGUCGCGAAAGCGGAAGUUAGUGAUCCGACCGUACGAAAUANNNNNNNNNNNNNNNNNNNNNNNNNNNNNNNNNNNNNNNNNNNNNNNNNNNNNNNCAAUUAAAGCGGUACGCGAGCUGGGUUCAGAACGUCGUGAGACAGUUCGGUCUCCUAUCUGCCGUGGGCGUCGAAGAUUGAUGGAACCCAUUCCUAGUACGAGAGGACCGGAAUGGACGAACCUCUAGUGUAUCGGUUGUUCUGCCAAGAGCAUUGCCGAGUAGCUACGUUCGGUACGGAUAAGCGCUGAAAGCAUCUAAGUGCGAAGCCGUUCCAAAGAUAAGUCUUCAUUUGAGACCCCUCAGAGACUAUGAGGUUGAUAGGCUGCAAGUGUAAGCACAGUAAUGUGUUCAGCUGAGCAGUACUAAUAGGUCGAGCUCUACAACCAC